rnacentral:rRNA from 1 species
ACUCCUGCCGAUGGAUAUCUUGGCUCUCGCAACGAUGAAGAACGCAGCGAAAUGCGAUACGUAGUGCGAAUUGCAGAAUUCAGUGAAUCAUCGAACCUUUGAACGCAAAUGGCGCAUCCGGGCUCCGCUCGGACGCAUGUCUCUUCGAGGGGCGCCUCCAUCCUCCUCGGAGCGAGAGAGCUCUCUCUCUCGUCUCCGGAGCCGGCGGCCGCGCGGGGGAGCCUCGGCCCCCUCGCGCGCCCGCCCAAGGCUGCCUUGCGAGCGCGGCGGCGGCGUCUAACCCGCGUCCCCGCCGGAGUGCUAAGUCCACGACUAGACCUCUGGUGGACGCGUGCCCCGUUCUGCCUCGCGACCCCCGGCGUGCGCGGUGCCUCUCCUCUCCUCCGGGAGAGCGAGGCCCGCCCGCCCCGGCGCGCGGCCGCUCUCUGUGCGGCCGCGCGCCUCGAAACCCGCCAUCGAAUGAGGCAAGACUACCCGCUGAACUUAAGCAUAUCACUAAGCGGAGGAGAAGAAACUAACCAGGAUGCCCCUAGUAAUGGCGAAUGAAGCGGGCUGAGCUCACGCUGCCAAUCUGGAGGCCUCGCGUAUGCAGCGCCCCCCGAAUUGUGGUCUAGAGAGGCGUUAUCGGCCGCGCCCGCUGCUCAAGUCCCUUGGAACAGGGUGUCGGAGAGGGUGAGAAUCCCGUACCGUGGCGGGUUGCGGCCUUACGAUGCGUCCUCGUCGAGUCGGGUUGCUUGGGAUUGCAGCUUGAAUUGGGUGGUAAAUUCCAUCUAAAGCUAAAUACUGGCGAGAGACCGAUAGCGAACAAGUACCGUGAGGGAAAGAUGCAAAGAACUUUGAAAAGAGAGUCAAAGAGUGCUUGAAAUCGGUAGGAGGAAACCCGGAUGGGCCCGGCUUCGGCGCGCCGACUCAGCCUGGGUUCUCCCCAGGUGCACUUCUGCGCGCCGGGUCAGCCGCGCCUCGGCGCCGCGCCUCAACCCGGGAGCGGGGCUUUACGGCCAGCUCCCGUCCUGGCGCGGCCCGGGGCCCGGCUGACGGAACGGGCCCCUCCGACCCGUCUAGAAACACGGACCAAGGAGUCUGACACGUGUGCGAGUACCCGGGUGGCAAGCCCGCGUGCGGAAUGAAAGUGAAGGGCAUGCCCUGCCAACCGACCUUGACCUGCUGUGAGGGGUUUGAGUGGAGCACACCUGUCGGGACCCGAAAGAUGGUGAACUAUGCCUGGGUAGGGUGAAGCCAGAGGAAACUCUGGUGGAGGCUCGUAGCGAUACUGACGUGCAAAUCGUUCGUCGAAUCUGGGUAUAGGGGCGAAAGACUAAUCGAACCAUCUAGUAGCUGGUUCCCUCCGAAGUUUCCCUCAGGAUAGCUUGAACGCAACGGUUUUGUCAGGUAAAGCGAAUGAUUAGAGGCCUGUGGGCUGAAACAGCUUGCACCUAUUCUCAAACUUUAAAUGGGCAAGAGGCCCGGGAUGCUUGAGUGAUCCCGGGCGGCGAACGGCGCGUUCAAAGUGGGCCAUUUUUGGUAAGCAGAACUGGCGAUGCGGGAUGAACCGAACGCCGCGCUAAGGUACCCAAGUGUCCGCUCAUCAGAUACCACAAAAGGCGUUGGUACCUCCAGACAGCAGGACGGUGGCCAUGGAAGUCGGAACCCGCUAAGGAGUGUGUAACAACUCACCUGCCGAAGGUACUAGCCCUGAAAAUGGAUGGCGCUCAAGCGGACCACCGAUGCGCGGCCGCCGGCGCGAGCGCGAGGCGCCGGCGAGUAGGAGGGCGCGGGGCUCGCGGCGCAGCCUUGGGCGCGAGCCUGGGUGAAGCGGGCCCCGGUGCAGAUCUUGGUGGUAGUAGCAAAUAUUCAAAUGAGAACUUUGAAGACUGAAGUGGAGAAAGGUUCCGUGUGAACAGCAGUUGGACACGGGUGAGCCGACCCUAAGAGACAGGAAAACUCCGCCGAACGCGGCUGGUUCUGUCAGCCCGUCCGUCGAAAGGGAAUCGGGUUAAUAUUCCCGAGCCAGCGCGUGGAUGGUGGGCGGCGACGCGAACGAACCCGGAGACGCCGGCGGGAGCCCUGGGAAGAGUUCUCUUUUCUUCUUAACUGCCUCCUGCCCUGGAAUCGGUUUAGCCGGAGCGAGGGCUACACGGCAGGCAAAGCACCCUAAGUCUUGGGGUGUCCGGCGCGCUCCCGACGGCCCGUGAAAAUCCGGGGGAGCGGUUCGUUCUCACGCCUGGUCGUACUCAUAACCGCAUCAGGUCUCCAAGGUGAACAGCCUCUAGUCGAUAGAGCAAUGUAGGUAAGGGAAGUCGGCAAAAUGGUUCCGCAACCUCGGGAGAAGGAAUGGCUCUGAAGGCUGGGCGCAGGGGUCCUAGGCUCGAGGCCGGCUGGCUGCGCGGGGACUACGGCCUCACGGCUGCGGAUCCCGCGCGGCCGUCCGGCGGACGGCCUAGGAGCGCUCCGGCUCUCCCUGCGCGACGAACAGCCGCUUCAGAACUGGCGCGGACAAGGGGAAUCCGACUGUUUAAUUAAAACAAAGCAUUGCGAUGGCCCGCGAGGGUGCUGACGCAAUGUGAUUUCUGCCCAGUGCUCUGAAUGUCAAAGUGAAGAAAUUCAACCAAGCGCGGGUAAACGGCGGGAGUAACUAUGACUCUCUUAAGGUAGCCAAAUGCCUCGUCAUCCAAUUAGUGACGCGCAUGAAUGGAUUCGUGAGAUUCCCACUGUCCCUAUCUACUGUCUAGCGAAACCACAGCCAAGGGAACGGGCUUGGAAGAAUCAGCGGGGAAAGAAGACCCUGUUGAGCUUGACUCUAGUCUGUUACUGUGGAACGACUUGAUGGGUGUAGAAUAUGCGGGAGGGGCAACCCGACAGUGAAAUACCGCAACCGUCAACGUUGUUUUACUUACUCGGUGGCGCGGAGGGAGGCUCGCCUCACUUCUGGAUCCAAGCCGCUUCGUGCGCGCGAUCCGCGUCGGGGACACUAACAGGUGGGGAGUUUGGCUGGGGCGGCACGUCUGUUAAAAAAUAACGCAGGCGCCCGAUUUUGAGCUCAAUGAGAACAGAAAUCUCAUGUGGACCGAAAGGGGAAAAGCUCGGUUGAUUUUGAUUUUCAGUACGAAUACAAACCGCGAAAGCGUGGCCUAUCGAUCCUCUCGUCUUUGGGAAUUUCAAGCUAGAGGUGUCAGAAAAGUUACCACAGGGAUAACUGGCUUGUGGCUGCCAAGCGUUCAUAGCGACGUAGCUUUUUGAUCCUUCGAUGUCGGCUCUUCCUAUCACUGCCUCGCAGCGGGGGCCAAAUGCAGGAUUGUUCACCCACCAACAGGGAACGUGAGCUGGGUUUAGACCGUCGUGAGACAGGUUAGUUUUACCCUACUGCUGUCUGUUUUUCUACGGUAAUUUGGUUCAUCUGUUGUGCGAGGCGUGAACCGCGCCAUUCGCUCUCACCUGGCAACCCUGUCUGCACGUCUCGCGCGCGCGUGAACAGGGCUCCGUGUGAGUGUUAGAGUUGUUUGGUAUCGCUAAAAAUCUCUCGGAACAAGCAAGGGUCUUGGGAGGAUGCCAUUUUGGGGGGUGCGGGGGCACACACAACGCGACACGGAGAGGGGGUGGGCAGGAUCACCCACACAGGAUCACCCACACAGGACAGUGGGAGAACAAAAUGCCUUGGAAGGACGACGACGGGCAGCCCAGGCGAUGCAAAUUCGCCGGGAAAAUUCUUUUCUUGGCGGCCUUGAAACGAACGAGAGACCUGCUUGCUCCACGCGCUGCUGGUGCGCAGCGUGCGCCGUUCUGCACUCGGGCACACCACCGCUCCACUCUCCGCUCUCCUCCAGCCGCACAGAGCCCAACCAGACCCCCCGACGGUCGGCGUUGAGCGUUGUUGAGCAGUGCCACGAGAGGCAGCAGCGUCUCGCCCGUGUGCCACAGCCGCGUGUGAGUUGCGAUGGGAGCCAGCUAGCCUCCCGACCGGCCUCCCGCGCACACUCGCACUCGGCAGCCUCGAGCCUCACCACGCCCGCUGCACACUGCCUCAGGCAUCCUCGCUCCCGCCACCACGCCGCCGCUCCAGUGCUCCUGCCACCGCCGCAGCCCUCCGCGUCGCGUUUCCGCCACCCUUUGACCGAGGCCGUGCGCUAGGCAGGCGUGCAGCUACAGGUGCGCAGCGGCGCGCCGCGCACCACCGCCGCGCUCUCACUCCUCAUCCCGGCCAGCUCUCCCCUCUUUCCGCCCCGCAGCUCCCCCGUCACCUCGCGAUAUCUCCCUCCCUCCCUCCCUCCCUCUCUCGGAGCCUCUCGGCAGGCCUCCGUCCCUCCGCCCCCCCCCCUUCCUCCGCCGACCGCGCACCGCGCCAUCCCCGCCGCCGUCGGCCUCACACCAGGUCUCAUCGGCGCUCUCUGCCGUAGGUUGCGCGCCGCUGCAGGGCGCGGUUCUGUCGCUCGUGCGUCAGGCGCGGCCGCGGCCGCGGCGCUCUCGCCUCUGCUGAGGCGCGCUAUCUGCUCGCCUCGCCGCUCUCCCCCCUCUCUCGCACCUCUCUCCGCACUUUUCCCAUUCGCGCCACGCCGCGGCGUCGCCACCGCACCGCCCUCUCUCGCCCUCACUGCGCGCUCCUCACCUCGCGAUAUCUCCCUCCCUCGCUCCCCCUCCCUCUCUCGGAGCCUCUCGGCAGGCCUCUGUCCCUCCGCCCCGCCCCUUCCUCCGCCGACCGCGCACCGCGCCAUCCCCGCCGCCGUCGGCCUCACACCAGGUCUCAUCGGCGCUCUCUGCCGUAGGUUGCGCGCCGCUGCAGGGCGGGCUGCGCGGCUCGUCGCUCGUGCGUGAGGCGCGGCCGCGGCCGCGGCGCUCGCCUCUGCUGAGGCGCGCUAUCUGCUCGCCUCGCCGCUCUCCCCCCUCUCUCGCAUCUCUCUCCGCACUCCUCGGCGGCAGCCCCGCAGGCUCGGGUCGCUGCAACCUCGAGUCGGGCUGGAGCGGCUGGGCGGCGCGGGGGCCAGCGUCGGCGGCGCCGCCCCGCCGCCGCCUCGACUCCUCCUCCUCCUCCGUCGCUGUCUACAUCUUUCGACGGCAUGCGCCGCCUCGCAGGGCGCGUCCAGAGCAGCUCGGGCGGCGCUGCUGCGGCGGGGGCGGAUGGCGCGGUCGCCGCGCCGCUCAUCGGUGAGCCGGCGCUCCCGCGCGGCGCUCCGGCGGCCGGCGGCGUGUUUCGCCGCUGCGGAGGGCGUUGUCGUCGCGAGGGGCGGGCCCACGGCGGCGGAGGCGCUGCGCUGACGGACGCUGACGGCGGCGGUGAGGGCCCAAGCGCCGGCCGAAGAAGCGUUGCCGCGAUUGCCGUGGCGUGCCGCCUGGCGGGCCCGGCGAGCGGUCCCCGCCGGUCGGGGCUGCCGGCGCUGCACGGUGCGAGCCGCAACUCCCGCCCCCCGCCACCUCUCGCCCCUCCCCCAGCCCUCUCCCUCGGCCCCGCCUCUCGCCCCGCCCGGGACUCUCCCCACGCCGCCUCUCCGCCACCCGCCAGCCAUCCCCGCCCCCGCCACCUCGGCCCUAGCGCACACGCACCCGCACGCGUCCCUGCCGCAGACUGGCGCGGCGACAAGGCGAUCGAGGCCGAGCAUAUGCGCUGGAGGCGACGGCCUCGACUUGCGCGCGAUCGGCGCCUCGCUCCUCUCGGCUCGGCAACGAUACGCGGCGCGCCAGCGUCGGCCCGCUCAAGGCUGCCCCGCACACACCCCUCUCGCCGUCGCCUCCUCCCUCCUUCCCCCACCCUCCCCCUCCGCCCCCCUCCCCCUCUUCCGCGGGGCGCGGCGCCCCCCCUCAUGCCGCAGCCCUGGCGCCCCUAUCCUCUCCGCGCGGUCACCGUCACCGCCACCGUCACCGUCACCGUCUCACCGUCUCGCCUCUCCCCCUGCCCCUCUCCCCGCAGGCCGCUGCACGGCGCUCGCCAGCGGCGCCGCGACGCGAGCGCUCUCGCCCCUCCCCCCCCCCACCACCGCUAGGGCCGACGGACGCCCCGCGCCUGCGUCCACCCCCCGCCGCCAUGAGCCGAGGCUCAUGGCGGCGCCUCGAGAGAGCCGCCGCGCGGCGCGGUCGCCGGUCCGGCGCAGAGGGCCGGGCGCCGGUCUCCGGCGCCGGGGGGCCGUCCGUGGGGCGAGGAGGGCGGAGGGGCGCGGCGGGGCCCGCCCAGCGGUGGGGGGGGCCGCGGCGGGGGCGUCCCGGUCCCGUGCACCGAGGCGGGGCGGCGGGGUGUGGUGCGGCGAGGUCGGUGUGCCGUCCGCCCCGGUCCCGGAGCCCGUCUCCCGGCUCCACGGGGCCCAAGUCGCUUCGUUUCGGGUGUGUUUGGCUUUGUUUGCAGUCGGUGUGCGCGUUUCCGAGUCAAAACGUCGCGUUCGGUUCGCAUUUGCAUCCCCAGUCCCAUUCCAUUCGGCUUCGGGGCGAAUCGGUACGACUGGGGCCGCAGUUUCCCCAGUGUGUCCGCGCCUCGGCUCGUAAUGGUCUCACCCAAUCGAAGCGGCGCCCUCCGGCGUACCACUUAGAGGAAUACGCAUUUCUGCGGCGAAUACAAACGCGAGUACGCGCACCGGCGCGGACACACUGGGGCUUGUCUGGCGGUGCUGCCCGCGCGGUCGGUACCGCCCUCUCGGCCACCCAAGCAGGUGGAUAGGUGAGGAGACGCGCAGAACGGCGGCCGCGAGGCAGCCGGCGCGGUGCUCCCUCGGCGCGGUUCGCCGGAGCAGACUUUUGCUUACGGUUUGAGCCGCGGCCCGGUAGGUUGACUGAGCGGCUGGUGCGUGUGAGGCGGUGCUGGGCGGGGUUGGGUCGCCACUGCGCGAUCCGGCCCCAGUCUCGGUUACGUAGACGCCUGGUCAGCACGUGCCGCCGCGGGGACUCACCCUCCCCCGACGCAAAAGCUCCCUCGCUGUGCCCCUCCGGAAUGGAUGGGGCCGCCUGGGUAGCGGCUGUGUGUGAGAAGCAGAUGGUUUCCCGAUGGGCAGACGCCUCGUGCGCCUCACCCCGCAGCGCGGCUGGCUCGCAGCUCGGAGGUUUCCUCUGGGCGCGGGUCGGCUGGCUGCACUGUCGGUGGCGGUGGCGCCUCGACUGGCCCCGCGUAACAAGGCCCUGGCAGGCUCAGCGGUGCAGCCCUCCCCUUUCGGAGCGGCUCCGCCCUGCUGUGGAGCUGCGGCGUGUCGGUUGU